GUCCUAGCUUCAGCAGAACAUAUACUUAAAUUGGAACGAUACAGAGAAGAUUAGCAUGGCAAAUAAUAAACAUUGUUUCUCUAAUUUCAAGACUGCGAAGACGUUUUU
rnacentral:snRNA from 2 species